rnacentral:lncRNA from 1 species
UUUAAGAUCCUUCUCAAAUAGUGUCUCCCCUGUAAAGCAAUUCCAGUAGAUGUAAUCUCUACAAACUUUUCACAGUUGCAAUGGUUAUCUUCAGUAUUAUGUAAAAGCUAUUUUGAGGCUUGUCUUCUUCCUUUUGUUAGAAUCUUGCAAAUUCUCUGAAGCCCAGACUUUAAGUUAUUCAUCUUUGCAUCCUCCAUUAUACCUAUCACAGAACUUAAGUACAAUAGGACCUCAGCCAGUGUUCCAGGAAAUAAAUUAAAUUGAAUGAAAUUUCCAUACAGUGAUAAGAAGGAGAUUACUGCUGCCCACGGGGAAAAAGGAGAACAGAAAUGGGAAAGCCGUAUUGAGAGGAUGUUUGAGAACUGUGAAAGACAGAAAGCAGACCAGAUUGCCAUGCCUAAACCACUUUCUUUGAAGUUUAUGGAAGCACCACUGCAUUUAUGCCAGAAGGUGAAAGUCCAGAACAGGUGCUUUUUGGUUUGAGAAUGAGUGUUCUACAUACUGGCCUGUAAGGCAGUGCUACUCCAAGUGUGGUCCACAGGCUGGCAGCAACAUCAUAGGGGAGUAUGUUAACAAUGCUGAUUCUCCAGCCCCAGCUCCGGACUCUGUUUUAACGGUCUAUCCAGGCAUGAAUUCUACUCAAGUGGCCUGCCCCUCAGCAGAAGUUGGACAGGUGCUUAUGUUGCAAUUAACAAAAAGGAUACAUGCUGGGUCCUGCAGUAAAUGUCUCCCUUGGAUCAUGAAGUCUUUUUACCAUGUUACUGGAACACAGAAGAUGAACAAACUGAAGCUAAAGAGAAGUAUUAUGUGUGCAAUGGCAUACAACCAUCUGAAAUGGAAAAAUAGAUUGUGUUCCUAUGAGCUUCCAUAAUACCAUGUGACUUCUCUGACAUAUGGAGGGUUUUGAGCCUGGGAAUGAGGCAUUGUCUGGUACUAUUGAGAACCAACUAACUUGGAGCCGUGUAUGAGCCACUGGGAAUAGACUAAAUGAGAUAAUCAACGUCUUGAUCUCAUAUUCUUUCAUUCUACAGAAGGAAGCAGGCAACAGGUUGCAAUACGAAGUGGAGUUAAAGCAACUAGAAGGAAGUGUCAGUAACCAAGCUGAGAGAGGCUGGAAGGAAAACAAUUCAUGCAGCAGAAAAGAAAGCCUUUUGAGCACUGUGAUGUCAGAAGGUGACUUGGAAGAUGAUCUAAAUGUUAAACUGGCAGUGAAGAGUGCCACAUCAUUGUUAUUCCCCCAAGAUCCUGGAUUCCAGACAGCCCAGUGGAGCACCAUAGAAAGAACUUUCAGGAAGCAGAGAAUGGUUCAGGGAUUCUGAUUUUCCUGAACUUCCUCCUCCCUAUCCACCUCCAAUUAGGAAAAAAGAAGAAAAAAAAGAUUAAACACGUCCAGAAUGUUAAAAAUCCAGUAGGGAUUUUAAAUGUUCACUAUUACAGCACAUACAUUUAUACACAAGGAGGUCUGAAGGCUUUCUGGUUUCAAUUAAGAUUAUUAUCUCCUUUGAGUGAUGGUUUCUCCUUUUUUCCCCCAGAAUUCCCUUUGGCUGAUCUAUUUUAAAAGAGUAUGAGCUAGGGAUAACUAGGCUUAUUUGUAUUGAGUCUACUUUCCCCUCCAGGUCUCUUUGUCUUAAAUUCUGAAGUCCCUUUUCCUAUCCUGCUAAAGGUUAGCAGCUUGAAAUCAAGGACAUGAGUCAUUGUUACUUUUCAUGUGGAAGAUAAGCUCUGUGGCUUUUAUAGCAAAAAGUAUAUACAAUUCUAAAAUUAAAGUGCAAGUCAGAAAGGCCAUUGGGGCUGUGAAAAGUCCUUAUCUAAAUCAGAAGACCAAGGUCAAGUUUGUAUCAUGCCUAUUAGUACAUGGGUUUCAUUGGUUAAGUUACCAAACCUCUGAGCCUCAGUUUCCUUAUCAGUCAAAUGAGUGCAAUAAUUCCCGCCCUAUCAUCUGACAAAUUAUUGAGAAAUUCUAAUUACAUGCCUAUAAUUUUCAGGUCUUUGUUUUUCAGGUCUUUGUUAAGCAUCAUGCACAUAAACGUUUGUAUUACACUUUCUUUAGCAGUAUUUGAACAUGGUACCUUAUUCAAUGUUCUGAAACAAAUCAUGAAUACUUCCUGGUGUGGUGAUAAUAUCUUCAUAAACUUGUGACACCCGAUGGAAUGUGAGUCGGUUUUGUAAUAGCCUUUAAAAACUUCCCUCAAUACAUAAUAAAGAAUGGUAAAAAAUUUUGGUUGAGGAAACUAAUGAUACAUCCAAAAUAACACAUUCAGUUUUCCAGUGAAGAAUAUUCUCAAAGUAAAAUGCUGUUUAGACUUACUUAAAGGUUCUUAAAACAAGUUAUACAAAGGGAUAGUAUUGAAAUCCAUCUUUUAAUAGAUAUAUACUAGUAAUUAUGUUGAAGACCCAGGAAAAUACUAUUAAUAGGUGUGAAAUUUAAAUCACACUAAUUAGUACUUUAAAAUAUUAUUCCUUCACGUUAUUUUAAAGAAGCUUUUCCUACAUGUGUGACCUAUUCUGUCAAACACAGCCAUGAAUAUCUAGUAUACUAAAUUGGUCCUAUUCUGACUCCAAUUUUCAAACACUUUUAACAUAGGACUAUAGAGUUCAUAUUUACAAAGUGUGUGCAUGCCUAUGUGUAUCACUAAUAUGUAGUAUAUGCAUACUAAAUAUGCACAUGGGUAUUUCAAACUCUGUUGGCUUGACUCUAAAUGUUCAGCUAUCGAUGUUAUUCUUGGUAUUUAGAGGUUUUAUUUAUAUAUUUAUCUUUCUUGACUUUCCCACUGGGAGGUGUCUUCUGAUAUUUCAGCCUCUAGCAUCUCAGUCCCAUACAUUCAGCCCUCACUGGGAAGUUUAAUUCCAGGUUACUAAUUUCAGAGCAUCCCAAAGAUGCUGUUUAGCUAGGUAGUGCCUUAAUAUAUCUUAGAAUUAAAAGAAAAUACUUUCUGUCUCUCAGGGCAUUUGAAAGCUCAAACUCUCCUCUUUGAACUUCCCUCUCUCAUUAUAUUGCCAUCACAAAUCUUUGUCCAUCACUAGGUGGUACAACUCCCCCUCCCCUCACCUGCCUCACACACAUAUGACCUACAGUGGAAAACUGAGCUCCAGAUGGUUCAUGGACUUGCCCAAAGUCACCUGUACCAUUGCUGACUUGGAACUUGAAUGUCCAAGCCUUCUAAAUCCUCAUCUGCAUUUUUCACAUUAGAGAAUUUUGAUCUCUGACUUCCAACAGUUAUUUCAGGAGAGGAAAAUGCAUGGCUUCACUAUCCAAUGGACUAAAAAAUUGAGUAAGGGAUAGAACAUAUUUUACACUCCAACUUGAAAACUUGUCGUAAUGAUGCUCUUCCAGCAUGAAGAAAUUAAAAUUGGCCUUCCUCUUCGUUCUCCUGAAUUGUUCACUGUAACUGAGUGGAGAUAUUUUAGGAGGGUUCUUACUGUGGCUUCUGAAGACCUUUUUCAGAAUAAGGUCUUUUUUUCAAAAACACCACACAAAAUACAAUACAAAAAUACAAUACAAAAAUUUUCAAAAAUACAGUAUUAGUUUGAAGCUUGGUAAGUUUUGACUAUUGCCUAUACCUAUGUAACUGCUACCUAAAACAAGAUAUAGAAAUAUUCUAACUUCCCAGAGAGAUUCUUCAUGCCCCUUUCAUUCAGUGUCAUCCCAGACCCCACAAAGGCAAUUCCUUCUGAUGGUAUGUAUGUAUUCUUUAGUGUCUGAUAUUUUUUAGAUUUAUUUAUAUUGUCAUAUGUAUCAGUAGGCCAUUCAUUUUUGUUGUUGAUGAAUAUUUCAUUGUGUGAAUAUGCUGCAAUUUGUUGAUUCAAAUACCUCCUGAUAGUUGUUUUCCGUUUGGGGCUGUUAAGAAUAAGGCUUCCAUAAAC